rnacentral:rRNA from 1 species
GACGAACGCUGGCGGCGUGCCUAAUACAUGCAAGUCGAGCGGAUGAUGAAGAAGCUUGCCUCUUCUGAUUUAGCGGCGGACGGGUGAGUAACACGUGGGCAACCUGCCCUGUAGAUUGGGAUAACUCCGGGAAACCGGGGCUAAUACCGAAUAAUCCAUUACCUCACAUGAGGAAAUGUUAAAAGACGGCAUCUCGCUGUCACUACAGAAUGGGCCCGCGGCGCAUUAGCUAGUUGGUGAGGUAACGGCUCACCAAGGCGACGAUGCGUAGCCGACCUGAGAGGGGUAUCGGCCACACUGGGACUGAGACACGGCCCAGACUCCUACGGGAGGCAGCAGUAGGGAAUCUUCCACAAUGGACGAAAGUCUGAUGGAGCAACGCCGCGUGAGUGAAGAAGGUUUUCGGAUCGUAAAACUCUGUUGUGAGGGAAGAACAAGUACGAGAGUAACUGCUCGUACCUUGACGGUACCUCAUUAGAAAGCCACGGCUAACUACGUGCCAGCCGCCGCCGUAA